CAAUGAAGAGGAGGGGGAGCUGAACGCUGCGCGCACCAACCCAGGCCCGAUGGUUUGUUGGAGAGACUGGACUUGAGAAGGUACAAUCAGGAACCAGCUUCAUUAUUUUCCAAGCACUGCCUUCAACUAGACUCUUUGGAUCACCUUCCCCAAUUGAGAGGAUUUCUUCGCCAAAUCUCAGACACUUUCAGGGUCGCCAGAAAAGCCAGAGUGGAGACUGCAGGGAGUACGGGUUUGAAUGAACUUUGGCUGCUCCAUCAAGCAUGCUGAUCACUGAGGAAACAACAGAAGACUCACCCAAGUGACUCAUCCCCCAAAUCCAACAGAGGAGAUGAUGGAUGUUCACUAAGCUUAUUGCGGUACCCAUUUCAUGACGUAUGUAAGUCAAAUCAUUAUGCUGUACACCUGAAACUUAUACAGUGCUGUAUGUCAGUUAUAGCUCAAUAAAACUGGAAGAAAAAAACCCCAAACAAACAAAAAAGAAGGAUAGAGUGAUCUGUAAUUUUAAAUGCUGCUAAUAGAUUCAGUCAAAUGAGAACUAAGAAUUGAUCACUGGAUUGGCAGAAUGGAGAUAAUUUGUUACCUUAACACACAUCGUUUACUAGUGUGCAAAAAGCAAAGUAUCUGAUUAGAAUGGGCUGAGGAAAAAAUGGAAGUGAAAAAAAAACCAAUGGAAUAACAUUUUUGAGCAGCCUGGCCAUAAAGGGCAUCAGAAAAAUGGAGUGGUUGCUGGAAGGCAGUGAGGGGUC